UAGGGAAUCUUCGGCAAUGGACGAAAGUCUGACCGAGCAACGCCGCGUGAGUGAAGAAGGUUUUCGGAUCGUAAAACUCUGUUGUUAGAGAAGAACAAGGACGUUAGUAACUGAACGUCCCCUGACGGUAUCUAACCAGAAAGCCACGGCUAACUACGUGCCAGCAGCCGCGGUAAUACGUAGGUGGCAAGCGUUGUCCGGAUUUAUUGGGCGUAAAGCGAGCGCAGGCGGUUUCUUAAGUCUGAUGUGAAAGCCCCCGGCUCAACCGUGGAGGGUAAAUGGAAACUGGGAGACUUGAGUGCAGAAGAGGAGAGUGGAAUUCCAUGUGUGGCGGUGAAAUGCGUAGAUAUAUGGAGGAACACCAGUAGCGAAGGCGGCUCUCUGGUCUGUAACUGACGCUGAGGCUCGAAAGCGUGGGGAGCAAACAGG
rnacentral:rRNA from 1 species